GGCUGAGCGGUAAAGCGCUUGGCUUCCAAACUGGUGGUCCGGGAUCGAAUCCUGG
rnacentral:tRNA from 1 species